CCCUUAGAUGUUCUGGGCCGCACGCGCGCUACACUGACGAAUGCAACGAGCUUAUAACCUUGGCCGAAAGGUCUGGGUAAUCUCCAAAUUUCGUCGUGAUGGGGAUAGAUUAUUGCAAUUAUUAAUCUUCAACGAGGAAUGCCUAGUAAGCGCAAGUCACCAGCUUGCGUUGAUUACGUCCCUGCCCUUUGUACACACCGCCCGUCGCUCCUACCGAUUGAAUGGUCCGGUGAAGCGUUCGGACCGUGGCCUUUGGACGGUUCGCCGUCUGUUGGCUGCGGGAAGUUCGUUAAACCUUAUCAUUUAGAGGAAGGAGAAGUCGUAACA
rnacentral:rRNA from 1 species